GGCGUGUGCAUCAGGUAAACGGACACAAGUUUAUGGCGACUUUCUUGCGACAGCCGACUUUUUGUUCACAUUGCCAAAAAUUUAUUUGGGGAAUUGGUAAACAAGGCUAUCAAUGUCAAGGUAUGUGUUCACAUGCAGCAACAACAACAACUACAUACUCGGUAUUCCUACUCGUACUCGUACUCGUUAUUGCAUUUGUACUCGUUUUUUUUCAAACU